rnacentral:tRNA from 1 species
UGAUAUCUACCUUAGUUGGGAGAGCGUUAGACUGAAGAUCUAAAGGUCACCCACUCGAUCCGGGUAAGUCGCAAGUUGUCAA